UACGGGGGGAGCAAGCGUUGUUCGGAUUUACUGGGCGUAAAGGGCGCGUAGGCGGCGCAACAAGUCACUUGUGAAAUCUCCGGGCUUAACUCGGAGCGGCCAAGUGAUACUGUCGUGCUAGAGUGCGGAAGGGGCUACUGGAAUUCUCGGUGUAGCGGUGAAAUGCGUAGAUAUUGGGAAGAACACCGGUGGCGAAGGCGGCGACCUGGUCCAUUACUGACGCUGAGGCGCGACAGCGUGGGGAGCAAACAGG
rnacentral:rRNA from 1 species